UACGUAGGAUUCGAGCGUUAUCCGGAUUUAUUGGGUUUAAAGGGUGCGUAGGUGGUCUAAUAAGUCAGUGGUGAAAGCCCGCAGCUUAACUGCGGAACUGCCAUUGAUACUGUUAGUCUUGAGUACAGUUGAGGUGGGCGGAAUGUGUCAUGUAGCGGUGAAAUGCUUAGAUAUGACACAGAACACCGAUUGCGAAGGCAGCUCACUAAGCUGUAACUGACACUGAGGCACGAAAGCGUGGGGAGCAAACAGG
rnacentral:rRNA from 1 species